AAUAGCCUAACGGCUGAACCAGCAAUUUGGAGGAACGUAUAAGAAAAAACAUGUAUACAAAGUAUACAUAUAUUUUCAGUAGUUACACUACGUAAAGUUCUAAAUAGAAGAAUGAUAAUGACAACCUUCUAUUACAGUCUUGGCAAAUUCUCGUGCCAGCAGUCGCGGUAAUACGGGUAAGACAAGUGUUAUUCAUAUUUAAAAGGUUUAAAGGGUACCUAGACGGUGUAUUUAGCCUGUAUUACAGGUACUAAUAUUACUAGAGUUUUAUGUAAGAGGUUUUUUAAGUACCUACAGAGUAGAGAUAAAAUAUUUAGAUACUGUAGGGCACUGGUAACGGCGAAGGCAUACCUCUAUGUAAAAACUGACGUUGAGGGACGAAGGCUUGGGGAGCGAUUAGGAUUAGAUACCCUAGUAGUCCAAGCAGUAAAAGAUGAAUGCCAUAGGUUAGAAUAUUUUAAUCUAUAAAUGAAAGUGUAAGCAUUCCACCUCAAGAGUAGCGUGGCAACGCCGAAACUGAAAUCAUUAGACCGUUUCUGAGACCAGUAGUGAAGUAUGUUGUUUAAUUCGUCGAUCCGCGAAUAAUCUUACCACAGCUUGAAUAUUAUAAUAACUAACUAAACAUAUAAUUAGUUUUUUAUAAUACAGGUGUUGCACGGCUGUCUUUAGUUAAUGUUGUGAGAUAUAGGUUAGCUCCGUUAAAUUGACAAAAACCCUUGCUUUAUUUUUUUAUAGAGUAGUUCGCUGGUAUAAUGGUUAA
rnacentral:rRNA from 1 species